UUUCUACUUCCUCCGUCCAAAAAUACUUGUCAUCAAAAUGGAUAAAAAUAGAUGUAUCUAAAACUAAAAUACGUCUAGAUACAUUUCCUUUUAUCCAUUUUGAUGACAAGUAUUUCCGGACGGAGGGAGUAUUUG
rnacentral:pre_miRNA from 1 species